UACGUAGGGUGCAAGCGUUGUCCGGAAUUAUUGGGCGCAAAGAGCUCGUAGGCGGUUUGUCGCGUCUGCCGUGAAAGUCCGGGGCUCAACCCCGGAUCUGCCGUGCGGACUGGUUUGCUAGAGCACUGUAGAGGCGAGUGGAAUUCCGGGUGUAGCGGUGGAAUGCGUAGAGAUCCGGAAGAACACCAGCGGCGAAGGCGGCAUCCUGGACUGGUCCUGACACUCAUGAGCGAAAGCGUGGGGAGCGAACAGG
rnacentral:rRNA from 1 species